GGGAUGAGCACAUUUGCUGAAGACUUUGAUGUCAAUAGUCAAGAUUGAGAAUUAGAAAAAUGAUAAAACCGGAUUCAAUCGCCUUAUGUGGGCAGAUAAAGGUAUUCAGCGAAAUUCGAACGAAAACCGGUAUCACUCAGUGAUAGGUUCGGUUUAUUGUUUAACAAGAAAUAAAAAUUCUGACUAAAACAUCGAUCGACACUUCAUUUUGAUUCAAACAGUUAAUGACAUAAUUUUACGUCGCACAUUGCUUGUUUUAGCGUGAUCUGCUUCCUUAUCAUAAUUGUCGUGUAACAAUGAAUCUAAUUACUUUGCUAUUAUGCCUUUUGAUAUGCGUUGGGUGUUUGUACGCGGCAGCUGUUGUUAAACAAAAAAUUUCAUCGGAUACCGAUCUGGAAACAUCCGAAACUCUAUUCAUUGGUCCUAUUGGUGCUUUUUUAACAACACUAGGCCAAACUUAUUUCUAUAUCAACGUCCUAGGAUUUCGACCGCGACGUUAUCGUCACCGCUACGACUCCGACUCUGAUGAUGACUGAGUUGCUGAUGAUGGUGCGAUUAGUUGAUUAGAAAUAGUAUCAAUAGUAUCAAUAGACUAAAAUUGUUGUUCCAUCAAGAUAGUGUAAUGAAAUGGUAUAAUUAAGCGUAAUUUCUACUGUGUAGAGUCCUCAAGCUCUUUAGAAAUAACAAAAAAAAAAUGAUGAAACCGGAUUCAAUCGCCGAUAAGUGGGGAGAUAAAAGAUUUAGCGAAAUUCGAGCGAAAACCAGAAUCAUUGAGAAAAGGUUUUGUUCUUAUGAUUUAAAUACAAAAUAAACUUUCAACUGCGUCGACGCCUCAUUAAGUCUAUAGUAAUUUUCCACCGUGCACGUGGCGAGCUUUCUGAUUACAUUCUCGUGUAAAAUGAAUCUAAUUAUCUUGCUGAUAUGCAUUUUGAUAUGUGUGGGAUGUUUGUAUGCGGCCACUGUUGUUAAACAAAAAAUUUCGUCUCAUACCGACUUGGCAACAUCUGAAACGGUAUUCGUUGGCCCGGUUGGUGCUUUUCUAACAACACUUGGUUUAACUUACUUCUAUCGUAGCCUAGGAUUUCAACCGUACGAUCGAGAUCCACGCGAUCAAUAUUAUCGUAAUCGGUACGCCGACUCCGACAGCAGCAGUAGCGAUGAAGAGACACCCCAAGAGUUACACGAUAGAUUAUUUAAUUAGAUUGAAUGAGAAAAUACUGGAAUUUGGUGCUUAAGUUGAGUACAUUUAAAGAGUGCUAUUUGUAUUACGAUAGUGAUAAGCUUAAGAAUUUGAAAAGUAAUGGCAUUAGAUUGUGAACGCCGCUUAAAUAUCGUGACAAAACGGUUUUGCGAUUUUUAAUGUUCAAAUUGAUUCUCAAAUUUUGCGACAGCAAUUUCGUAAGCCUUUUAUUUUCGAGGAAACUACAAAAUUCAUCCGAAAGUCGAAA